AGUUUUGAGUGAAAGAAAGCCGAACGGAAGGACAGAACUGGGUCGACAUUGGCGAAAGAUCUUUGCUGGGAGAAACUCGAUAAAUUGAUAAUUUAUGCCCACGCAUCUCUAUAGGAUUUUUGCCUCUACAUAUUUUCGGACGGGAAGGACGCCGUUUUUAUCUCUCCUCGUAUUUACUCCUCAUCACUCGCAUCGGCCAACUGGACACAUUUUCUGGAUUUUUACUUGUUGCAUCUCUCAAAGUAUAAAAAUAUAUACUUUCGAAAAUUCCAUUUUUUUAAGAGUGACAUAAUUGGUAGGAUGAAGCUCAGAAAGUUUAUCCAGUUUGACACGAACCACCACUACCCGAGCACAUUCGCAGUGCUAUUUCUCAUCAAUAUGUUCAACCAAAAUCAUAUUCGUCAACCGACUUGGAAAUACCAAACACUCUGGAUGACAUACACCAACAAGUGUCACCAGAUUUGAAAAUGGGGUACUUCAUCAUGACCAAAAAGUUUUUUAUUUUGGAAGACGGGUGAAAGUCGGGCAAAAUCCGGGAAGUUAUUUCCGCAA